rnacentral:rRNA from 1 species
GACGAACGCUGGCGGCGUGCUUAACACAUGCAAGUCGAACGGAAAGGCCCUGCUUUUGUGGGGUGCUCGAGGGGCGAACGGGGGAGUAACACGUGAGUAACCUGCCCUUGACUUUGGGAUAACUUCAGGAAACGGGGGCUAAUAUCGGAUAGGAGCUCCUGCUGCAGGGUGGGGGUUGGAAAGUUUCGGCGGUUGGGGAUGGACUCGCGGCUAAUGAGCUUGUUGGUGGGGUAGUUGCUGACCAAGGCUUUGACGGGUAGCCGGCCUGGGAGGGUGGCCGGCCACAAUGCGACUGAGAGACGGCCCAGACUCGUACGGGAGGCAACAGUGGGGAAUAUUGCACAGUGGGCGGAAGCGUGAUGCAGCAGCGCCGCGUGCGGAAUGACGGCCUUCGGGUUGUAAACCGCUUUCGCCUGUGACGAAGCGUGAGUGACGGUAAUGGGUAAAGAAGCACCGGCUAACUACGUG